rnacentral:rRNA from 1 species
UACGUAGGGCGCAAGCGUUAUCCGGAAUUAUUGGGCGUAAAGAGCUCGUAGGCGGUUUGUUGCGUCGGCUGUGAAAUCCCCGAGGCUCAACCUCGGGUCUGCAGUCGAUACGAGCAAACUAGAGUGUUGCAGGGGAGACUGGAAUUCCUGGUGUACGCGGUGAAAAUGCGCCAGAUAUCAGGAGGAACACCGGUGGCGAAGGCGGUUCUCUGGGCAAUUACCUGACGCUGAGGAGCGAAAGUGUGGGGAGCGAACAGG